AUGAACAUUGCCCUCCUGACCCGUUGGCUAUGGCGCAUUGCUAAUGGCGACGGCGGCCUUUGGCGCACCAUCAUCCGGAACAAGUACCUCUGUGGCCAACCUCUUGCAUUCUGUCAGCGAUCGGGCGGCUCCCAGUUCUGGCAGGCCGUCAUCCAGCUGCUCCCUGUGCUUCGCAUUGUCACUUCCAUCUCGGUUGGUACUGGAUCAGCGACCCUGUUCUGGUUUGAUCGGUGGAUUGGCGACAUCCCUCUGGCCGCUCGUUUUCCCAAGCUAUUCGCCAUUGUUGUUGACCCUCGGGUCUCUGUCGAGUCGGCCCUUAUUGACUUAGGGCGCCUCGCCUUUCGCCGUCCCUUUGGCCCGCCCGAAAUGGCCGCCUGGGAUGCCCUCCUCCAGGACAUCGCCCUUCUCCCGAUGAGCGUCAACGACACCCCGGACGCCAUCUCUUGGCGUCUGGAGUCUUCCGGUUGCUUCUCCACCAAAUCCCUGUACACAGCCAUCUCCCCAUUGCCCGCCCCCGAGCCCUUCAGUCUGAUCUGGGACAUCCGCUUGCCCCUGAAAAUCAGGAUCUUCCUGUGGCAAUGGAUCCGUGGC
rnacentral:rRNA from 1 species